rnacentral:tRNA from 1 species
GGCCUUAUGCCGGAAUUGGCAGACGGAGGCGUUUACCAAACGCUUGCCUUUAAGGGCGUGCGGGUUCGAAUCCCGCUAAGGAUU